GAUGAACGCUGGCGGCAUGCCUUACACAUGCAAGUCGAACGGUAACGGGCCUUCGGGUGCCGACGAGUGGCGAACGGGUGAGUAAUGUAUCGGAACGUACCAUUGAGUGGGGGAUAACGUAGCGAAAGUUACGCUAAUACCGCAUAUUCUCUCCGGAGGAAAGCAGGGGACCGCAAGGCCUUGCGCUCCUUGGGCGGCCGAUAUCAGAUUAGCUAGUUGGUGGGGUAAAAGCUCACCAAGGCGACGAUCUGUAGCGGGUCUGAGAGGAUGAUCCGCCACACUGGAACUGAGAAACGGUCCAGACUCCUACGGGAGGCAGCAGUGGGGAAUUUUGGACAAUGGGGGCAACCCUGAUCCAGCCAUGCCGCGUGAGUGAAGAAGGCCUUCGGGUUGUAAAGCUCUUUCAGCCGGGAAGAAAUCGCAUGGGCUAAUACCCCGUGCGGAUGACGGUACCGGAAUAAGAAGCACCGGCUAACUACGUGCCAGCCGCCGCGGUAACAC
rnacentral:rRNA from 1 species